rnacentral:rRNA from 1 species
GGGGGUAAAUUAAUAAAAAAUAAAUAAUAAAAUAAAUUUUAAAAUUAAAAAUAAAUAAUGGGGGUUAAAGUAUUUUUAAUAGAAAAAAUUUGAAAUUUUAUAGGAGAUUAGUAUUGUGAAAGAAAUUUGAAAUAAGUUAAAAUUAAUUAAUUGGAAAGAAAAUUUAAUUUAUAGUAUCUUGGGUAUCAGAGUUUAUUAAAUAAAUUUUUAAAAUUAAAAAAUCUCGAAUUUAAAAGAGUUAAUUAAUUAUAAAAGUUAAUGUAACAUAAUUAUUUUAAAUAAUUAAUUAGAAAUGAAAUGUUAAUCGUUUUUAAAAAUAUCUAGUUAUUUUAGAAAAAAAUUUAAUUUAAAAUUUAAAUAAUUUUAUAAUUAAAUAAUAAAAAUUAUGAAAAUUUAAAUUUAAUAUAUUAAGGGAUAAACUUUAAAUUAAAAAUUUAUAAUAAGAUAAAUAAAAAUUAAAAUUUUUAAAAUUUAUAUUGUUUAAAAAUUAUAAUUUUUUAUAAAAAAUUUUAAUAUAAAUAAAAUUUAAUAAAAAAAAAAUUUAAAUUUAUAUAAAAUAAUAUUUUUUAAUUUAAUAAAAUUAAUAAUAAUGAUAAAAUUAGUAAAUAAAUAAUAAAAAUAAGUAAAUAUUAAUUAAAAUUGAAAAAAAGGAAUUCGGCAAAUAAAAUAUUCACUUGUUUAUCAAAAACAUGUCUUUUUGAAAUAAUUUAAAGUCUAAUCUGCCCACUGAUAAAAAUUAAAGGGCUGCAGUAUAAUGACUGUACAAAGGUAGCAUAAUCAAUAGUUUUUUAAUUGGAAACUUGUAUGAAAGAUUUGAUGAAAUAUAAACUGUCUCUAUUUUAUAAAUUGAAUUUUAUUUUUUAGUAAAAAAGCUAAAAUAAAUUUAAAAGACGAGAAGACCCUAUAGAGUUUUAUAUUUAAUUUUAUUUGAAAAUUAUAUAAAAAUUAUUAUUUAAAUAAAAUUAAUUAUUAUGUUGGGGUGACAGAAAAAUUAAAUUAACUUUUUUUAAAAAUUAAACAUAAAUAAGUGAUUAUAUGAUCCAUAAAUAAUGAUUAUAAGAAAAAAUUACCUUAGGGAUAACAGCGUAAUAUUUUUUUUUAGUUCAAAUAAAAAAGAAAGUUUGCGACCUCGAUGUUGGAUUAAGAUAAAAUUUAAAUGCAAAAGUUUAAAAUUUUUGAUCUGUUCGAUCAUUAAAAUCUUACAUGAUCUGAGUUCAAACCGGUGUGAGCCAGGUUGGUUUCUAUCUUUAGAUAAAAUAAUAUUUUA